rnacentral:rRNA from 1 species
CAGCAGCCGCGGUAAUACGUAUGUCACAAGCGUUAUCCGGAUUUAUUGGGCGUAAAGCGCGUCUAGGUGGUUAUGUAAGUCUGAUGUGAAAAUGCAGGGCUCAACUCUGUAUUGCGUUGGAAACUGUGUAACUAGAGUAUUGGAGAGGUAAGCGGAACUACAAGUGUAGAGGUGAAAUUCGUAGAUAUUUGUAGGAAUGCCGAUGGGGAAGCCAGCUUACUGGACAGAUACUGACGCUGAAGCGCGAAAGCGUGGGUAGCAAACAGGAUUAGAUACCCCCGUAGUCCCUGUCUCUUAUACC